CUAUGGGAUGAAGCGAACAUUCCGGGGCCUUCAUAGAGCCUACGUUUACUGAUAUGAUUAUAUCACCAGACACAAAUAUGUCAGCAACUGUUACGACACCUAUGACGGUUACUCCAAUGACAACGGAUUCCCUUCCACCUGAAGUAACUGCAGCUCUCAUCAUCUCCAUCAUCCUCAUCUUCUCAACGCUUAUUAUGCUAAUUUAUGCAAAUAGGAGGUUUGAAUCUGAUCGAGCCAUCACCGUAUGCUGCUUCCUACUGACAAUGAGUGCUCAGCACAUAACUCUUGUUAGCGGUCUCUAUUCAACAUCAA